UUAACGAGGCGAACCGGGGGAACUGAAACAUCUAAGUACCCCGAGGAAAAGAAAUCAACCGAGAUUCCCCCAGUAGCGGCGAGCGAACGGGGAGCAGCCCAGAGUCUGAAUCAGCUUGUGUGUUAGUGGAACGGUCUGGAAAGUCCGACGGUACAGGGUGAUAGUCCCGUACACCAAAAUGCACAGGCUGUGAACUCGAAGAGUAGGGCGGGACACGUGGUAUCCUGUCUGAAUAUGGGGGGACCAUCCUCCAAGGCUAAAUACUCCUGACUGACCGAUAGUGAACCAGUACC
rnacentral:rRNA from 1 species